UUUUGCUUACCAUAAUACUUUCAAAUUUUAUCCAUAUUGUUGCAUAUAUCAGAACUUCAUUCCUUUUUAUUACCAAACAAUACUCCAUUGCAUGGAUAGACCACUUUUGCUUACCAUUCAUCAGUGGAUGGACUUUUGAGUUGUUUCCGUUUUUUGGCUGUCAUCAAUAAUCGGGCUUUGAACAUUUGUGUACAAGUUUUUGUGUGUGGAUCUAAGUUUUCAUUUCUCUUGGUUAUGUAUCUAUCAGGCAUAUGCUAGGUCAUAUGAUAACUAUGGUUAACUAUUUGAGGAGAUUCUUUUUUUUUAAUUGUGAAAAAUUUAAAAGUUGAAAGAAUAGUACAGAGUACCUGUAUACCCUCCGUAUAGAUUCAAUAGUUGUUAACAUUUCACAUGCCUGCUUCUUCCUGCCCCCUUCUCUCUCUUUCUCUGAUUUCAUUUUUAGAGCCAGUUCUCUUAACUACUAUUUUAUAUUCAUCCCCAAUUAAAUGAGUGAACACAGGUGAAAUAGUAUAAUGACUGGCUAAUAACAGCUACUCAAUAAAUGUAAAUUCCCUUCUCUCCUCUUUUCCCCAAAACUUAGAAAUGUUAUGUAGGAUCUGGGGCUGCAAGUUCUGCAUCAAGAUAAGAGAAGUGAGAUGUAAAUAAAGAUUCAUGGACCUUACUUCCUGCAGCAUUCCUGGACCAAGGUCGGUGCAACUAGCUGGUGUGUUCAAAUCAUGGUCCAACAAAGUCUACACAUUGCAUUUGGUUUUAUUCUUCAUAAGUCUCUCGUAAUCUAGAAGAGUCUCCAACACACCUUUCUUUUUUUAAAUGCCGUUGACUCGAAGAAAGUCAGUAUGUCCUGUGGAAUGUCCCACCUUCCAGAUUUGUCUGAUGGUUUCCUUGUGAUGUCAUUUCCCUUCUCCCUCAUUUCCUGCAGGCUGGUAGUUAGACCUAAAACGUUGGUUAGAUUAGAG
rnacentral:lncRNA from 1 species